UCAAAACUAACAAAGAAAUAGAUCCACUUAAAUUGAAAGAUUUUACAUCCUCCACAAUUGGUCCAAUGCUGUCUCAUCCAUUAAAUCCUGGGGUGUUUUGGAGAAUUCUCCACUUGUGCCCUGAAUCUCAGUGCAGGUGUUUUUCUCACCCACAGGAUAGACAAAGUGUAUUUGGAGCUCUUAUAAAAUAGCUAGUGACUAUUUUCUUUUUUUUUAAUAAGCAUCCAGAAGACUUUGAGUCACAUCAAAACAAAAAAAGGCUGUCAUUCUCAGACAAAUGUCCAACUUGCUCUUCCCUGUGGAAUUUGGACCCAGCUUAAAGCUCCACUAGCAAAGAGAUACUAAACUGAAAAAAGUACACCUGGGCUUGGAAGAACAUCUUCCAAAGUCAUUAAACUUCUGAAUAAUACUAUAAUAACUGACGUGAAAAUGAGAGUGUCUUUUUUUUGUAUUUUAAUUAUUCCUAAGUGAUACUCAUAAAAAUAUAUUAGCUUAUAAGGAAACUGCUGGAGAAUAUAAUAGGGAUGAAACUGCUGGCUUCCACAGGAUUUUAAAGUACUUUUCCAGAAGUACACCUGAACAACUUCAGAGAAUGAAUGUUUAAGCAACUUGUAGAAUUCUCCACUUUGGAUUAAAAUAAUGUAGGCUAUUUCACAGAAUUCAAAAUUACCUAUAGAAAAGGCAAUUCCUUCCCCCUAAACCUAAAGGAAUUUUAGAUAACUGAGGAAGCACCCUAAAGGCUGAAAUCUAUUGUUCCAUAGUUCAAAUAAAUUUAAUACAUCACAGGCAGAUUUUUAUUAUUAUUUAUUAUCAUUAUUAAUUUUUGACUAAUACUAUAAAACAUUCAUUGACAUCAAUCAAAUUCAGUUUAGGCACUCAUAGGUGCAGAAUGAAAAUACUCACACAGGCUCUUUAUUGCAAAAACUUAAUAGUAAUGAGGGGGAAAAAAACACUCUGUGUUGUGAUCUAUCUAUUUAAAUGCUUGAACUUAAAAAUAAGAUCUCCCAAUCACAUCCAGGUAGGCAACAUAGCCUUCUUGUUAAAAUGCCCUUCCAUUUAAACAUAGAUUUUAACCUUUUCACCUUCGCCGCUUACAUUUUUCUUUCGUUUUGUUCAAAGCAUUUAGGUAAAUUAGGAUGAGGUCCCUCCAUAAAAAUGCAAGGGGAUCAGUGAAACUUUCAUCUCUAAUUUAUUCAUGAAGGAGAGAGGUCUUUUCUGGUCAUGCUGUGCAUCAUCCUGUCAGAAUGACUUUCCUUCUUCUUGAGAAGGGAUAAAGGGAGAUAGAAAAAUCAGGGGUUUGGUCUUUCCUACUAAUAAUCACUGGAAGAGAGAAAACUGUGCACUGCUUUAUUCAGUGGUUAUUCUACUGGAGCUGAAUUUAAUAUUACAUAUUACAAGGCCAAGUUUCAAUAUUAAGGGGACUGAAGUUACUAAUGAGUGAAAACAUAAAUUAUUUAUGUAAGAGAACUAGAUCGUCUUUUCAUAUGAAGUUCACACAUAACUUUUAAAAUGUGAAUUAGUGGGUUCUCCUACCAGUUGGAGCAUGUAGGACAGCUUUCUGCCUGGAUACAGCAGAAAGAUCUGUGUGCUUGAGGAGAGGGUUGCAGGCACAGCACACCCUGCUUGUCUCUAUUAGCACAGACCCUGCCAACUCUAAACUGUGCACAAAAAUACUACUGAUUCCACCUCUGGAAAUGCAACUACAGUUGAAUAAAGUUUUAAUGGGGAUUAUAAUAAAAAAAUAUUUAAUAUUAGUCAUAAACCUAUUUUUUUGCUAGUAUACCCCAUCCUUUUCCAAAAUCUCUAUAUUUCAGGUUGAUUUCUUUCACUUAUUGUUGUUAUAUCAACAUCCCAUUUUGUAUCUCAAUCUGUCGGAGGGGCAAAAAGAUUUUUUAAUAAAAAUGGCCUUUAUCCCAGCUGAUGAAUGAACUCUUCUGCGUUCCCCCAGCUUACAAAAAUUAUCAUCUUUUAUACAUGCUUUAAAAAGAAAAGGGUGGGGGCUAGGGAAGAAAAGCAGGAUCUGGUAUUAGUCCUUUUAGUCGUCAGGAAAUUACAAAAUGUACACUUGCGGAGUAAGCAAUUUUCGCAGUCUGCUGGCACAUCCAUCUUUUUAAUGAGCCUUGUUUAUAACCUGACGCCAUGUUUCUAGUCACCUACCCUGUUUACAUCUUUGGCCCCUUUAAUUAAGAGAAGAACCAGUUAAAAGAAAGUAAGAAGAAAUAUUAAUAUGAUCUGAUUAAUUCAGCUAGCGGGAGGUUAUGGGGUACCAAGGUUAUUAUAACCUAUAAAGGCAACAUGAGCAAAGCUGUGUUCAUUUGUAAUUUUAUUAGGCAGAGCAAAUUAGUGAGCCCACAUGGCAAUGACAAAAGACCCCUUCCUAUUCUCUCUUACCCCCCACCGAAAGGGCCAGGCGCCUAAAGUUAGGCUCCAUAUUAGGCAAAUGAGAGCUGAUAAAUCUCAGCCAACAACUAAUGAGAAUCUCCAGAGUUGGAGCUGUGCUAAUUUGAAAACAUUAGCUGGGAUGUCUUUUUCUUUUUUUGGUGCAUGUACAAAGUCCAACUAACGCAGCCCCGCUCUUGUCACGGGGGUCAGUGGGGUGAAGAUGGUGAGGCAGGAAGAGGAGAGGGGUUAAAGAUAAAACAUAGAGAAAACAUAGGAGGGGGCUAAAAGGAAACGCUGAUAAUACAUAGAUCAUUAGGCAGAGCAUAUAUCAUUGAUAAUACAAGGGGGACAUAAUUACAUAUAAUUACAUGACACUUGUUCAGGAGCCCCUCCCAGCUCCUCAGAUAAGAAAAUCCAGAUAUUUUUCUUGUAGGGUCCACACAGCAGCAUUGACAUCAUGGCAACAUCAAGCUGGUUUUCAGGCUUUGCAGUGCUGCAUCUCUCACAAUGUUCAAAAAACUCAGGUCUCAAAGUGGACUGAUGAAAUAUAAUCUGAACUGCAUGAAAAUCUCUGUGAUGCGUGAACUUUCGUAUGGAAAUAGGUGGCACAAGUUGUGUUGCUUAUGAAUUCUUCUACUGAAGCCUGAAACCCUCAUGUUGUGUAAUAUCACAGCUGGCUGGGGUAGCACAAAGACAUCACAGAGCAGAUUCUUUGAGCCUGUACCUUCUGUGUCCCCAGCCCUCAUGCUCAGACUCUUCCUGCAAAAGAAAACUUCAAGAAGGAUGCAGCUGCACUUGGUUCAGGAACCCACUGAUGGAGAUAUAAAUCUUAGCAUGGACAAACAUGUCAAAUAGUGAAACUGCUGUCUUUAAACACUGUCGGUCUGCAGCCUGCCAUCUUCAUCCUUCUGGCGGACAAAUGGCUGCUGUAGCCUCACAAUUCAGAGAGAAACACAGGACAAGGUGAUCUAUAUCCUCAGAGGAUCAUCUCCUCGCUUGCAAGAACAUUUGCUUUACGUUUGAUUUACAUGAUACUGGCUAUCUUUAGAAUCCUGCUAAUUUCCAAGGACAUCUCUCAACACAGACAUGAACUCCUCACAUAAAACCAGGCAGUGGCUGGGUGGGAACCCUCUGCAUGGCAGCUGAAAGGAGCAGCAGUUACAGACUGGGCUGGACAGCAUUCACUGAAGAAAAAGUGUGUGAGUAGGUUGCAGAUGAAGCAUGGACAGAAGGGACCAAAGAGCCAGAUAACAAAGUGGUUCUCAUGUCUUGGAUAAAGAUCAACCCAAGCAUCUCAAAAACAGAUUUUCAGAGUUGCUGAAUGGCUGUGGAUAUCACAGAUAGGUGCUCAGCAGCUCCUAAAACAGGACUUUGGUCUUUGGAGAGUGUUUCAGCCCACAGGCUGUCUUUCACAGUGUAGCAGAGCAGACACAGAUUUUCUUUUUUUUUUUCCUUUAAAGACAAGAAGCUGAAGGAGAGUCAUGACUGAAUUUCCUUCUUUCACCUUUAUAACUGAAGGUCCUUUACUGUCUGGACACUUUCCAAAAUCCAUAAAAUAUAGUAAAUUUUAUACGGAUUUAUCCAACGAGACUUAAUCCUGAGCCUUGUCUUUCUGCACUGUUUUAACAUGUGCUGCAAAAGCAGUGUCAGACUGUCCCCAGCAAUAUUGAGUGACACUCAUCCCAUCCAAACAGCUCUUCACCUUCUCCUUCAGUGGAGAUUCAGCAGCUGAAGGCACUGAGACCACAGUGAACUUCUCUCACCCACAGUGUUAAUGACUGAAAGUCAGCAUCAAAGUAAGAAGCAUAAAUAGGAAUUCUUUAAUUAUAAUGAGUGGCACAUUAACCUCAGCAUGAAUCUGUCAUGACUUUUCAAAAUGGCACACAUGUGGUUCUGUGCUUGAGCUAAUGCCCUGGGCUUUUCACUUGUUCACUUUAGAUCUGUGUUUGCUUUUCUGACUAGAAUGGCUCUCAUCCAGCUGACUUCAAUCAUGUGGGGGGAUGCCUCCGUGUCCAGCAAUACAGGAGAACCCUGAGAAAUAUUGACAGUAAAGAAAUUUGCUCUCUGCUGGCUGUUGUCUCUCUUGUUCUGGGCAUAAAUAAACUUGUUAACUCCC